UACGUAGGGUCCAAGCGUUACUCGGAAUUACUGGGCGUAAGCGUGCGUAGGUGGUGAGUUAAGUCUGUCGUGAAAGCCCCGGGCCUCAACCUGGGAAUGGCGAUGGAUACUGGCUCGCUAGAGUGCGGUAGAGGAGAGUGGAAUUCCCGGUGUAGCAGUGAAAUGCGUAGAGAUCGGGAGGAACAUCAGUUGCGAAGGCGGCUCUCUGGACCACAACUGACGCUGAGGCGCGAAAGCUAGGGGAGCAAACAGG
rnacentral:rRNA from 1 species